AUGGUCACCGAGUCGUGCGGGUGAGAUCCUGCGUUCAGGCUCGAGCGUAGCGAUACGACAACGCGCAGCGUUGCCCGCAGGGUGAGGCCACAGGCCGAAUCAAUCCUGCACGACCCACCC
rnacentral:sRNA from 1 species